rnacentral:lncRNA from 1 species
UAGGAUUAAGAAAGAGAUAGAGACUUAGGAGAGGGGAGAGAAAAGAGAAGGAGAUGAUCCAAUUUGCCUAACCAUUGGGUACCAAACAUAGCCCUCGAGCACUAUGCCCCAAAAGACAAAGACCCUUUAGUUAACAAACACUUUAGAGAUUUACAUUUCUCACCCUACCGGUUACUCGCGCGCCCUACGAAUUUCUCAUUUUACCCUUCCG